AUUGAACGCUGGCGGCAGGCCUAACACAUGCAAGUCGAACGAGUGGCGGACGGGUGAGUAAUGUCUGGGAAACUGCCUGAUGGAGGGGGAUAACUACUGGAAACGGUAGAUAAUACCGCAUACCAUCGGAUGUGCCCAGAUGGGAUUAGCUAGUAGGGGGGGUAACGGCGCACCUAGGCGACGAUCCCUAGCUGGUCUGAGAGGGUGACCAGCCACACUGGGACUGAGACACGGGCCAGACUCCUACGGGAGGCAGCAGUGGGGAAUAUUGGACAAGGGACGCAAGCCUGAUGCAGCCAUGCCGCGUGUAUGAAGAAGGCCUUCGGGUUGUAAAGUACUUUCAUCAGGGAAGCGGUACCCAAAGAGGAAGCACCGGCUAACUCCGUGCCAGCAGCCGCGGUAAUUC
rnacentral:rRNA from 1 species